rnacentral:rRNA from 1 species
GGGCCCGCACAAGCGGAGGAACAUGUGGUUUAAUUCGAUGAUACGCGAGGAACCUUACCCGGGCUUGAACUGCAGGGGAACGAUACAGAGAUGUUGAGGUCAGCAAUGACCCCUGUGGAGGUGCUGCAUGGUUGUCGUCAGCUCGUGCCGUGAGGUGUCGGCUUAAGUGCCAUAACGAGCGCAACCCCUUUCGCCAGUUACCAUCACUUCGGGUGGGGACUCUGGCGACACUGCCACCGUAAGGUGCGAGGAAGGUGGGGAUGACGUCAAAUCAGCACGGCCCUUACGUCCGGGGCUACACACGUGUUACAAUGGGUGGUACAGAGAGUCGGCCUGUGGCAACACCGGUCCAAUCCUUAAAGCCAUCCUCAGUUCGGAUUGGGGUCUGCAACCCGACCCCAUGAAGCUGGAUUCGCUAGUAAUCGCGCAUCAGCCAUGGCGCGGUGAAUACGUUCCCGGGCCUU